GUUUUUCUGCUGGAAGAGACCUAAAUAAUCCAGCCCCUAGAUUCUGGAGUAGCCAGCAUAGUGCCUGACUGUACUGGUUCUGCCUGUCUGGAGGGCCAUGGAGAAGAGGCUGGGAGUCAAGCCAAAUCCUGCUUCCUGGAUUUUAUCAGGAUAUUAUUGGCAGACAUCUGCGAAGUGGUUGAGAAGCCUGUACCUGUUUUAUACUUGCUUUUGCUUCAGCGUUCUGUGGUUGUCAACAGGUCCACAAGGCGAUUACAAUUUCCAGUCCCCUAACCACAGACCUGACUGCAGAGCUGUCUGGUGGGCCAAAGAAUGUAUCAGUGCAACCUGAAAUAUCAGAGGGUCUUGCUACUACGCCCAGCACUCAACAAGUAAAAAGUUCUGAGAAAACC
rnacentral:lncRNA from 1 species